rnacentral:lncRNA from 1 species
GCUCGCCGCCGCCUCCGCUGCCGCCUUGAUAUAGUGCGGCGCGGGCGGCGCGGCCGCACUUGGCGAGCGGCGCUCGCGGCUGGGGCAGGCGGGCGUCGAAGCGGGUUGCCCGGCGCUCGGCCACCGCCAACUUGGGAAGUGUCCGCCCGGGCGAGCUCCCACCAUGAGCCGCCUCCUGCCUCUCUGCCUGCUCGGAUUGCUCCUGGGCGGCGGGCAAGAGCUUUGUGAAAGCAGCUGUUUUAAAACGUUAGAUGUGAAAUAUUUGGAAGGAGAGGUCUGAAAUAAUGAGAAAUCGUGAUACUGCUGUUGUGGACAUUGUACAGUAUGAAGGUUCUUCCAAAGAACUUCCUUUUAAAAUGUUUCUUCACGCAGAGGAGGGGAUGACAGAACAAUUGGAGAGAAAAGUGGUACCGAAUGACUGGAAACUACUAAUAUACUACCAAGUCCUGUGGCGAAUGAAGCCAAAGAAAUGUAAUCCUGUCAUGGCUGCAUUCUAAUUCCUGUUCCAUGAAUCAAGAAAGGAUGAAAGUGCCUCUGCAAACUUAUCUAUAGCUCUCACUACUGGUGCUAUAUUAUAACUUUCUAAAGGCUAUUAAAGGUAAUGUAAUUUUUUCCAUAUAUAGAAAAGGGAAAAGUCAAAAUAUUUCUGAUACCAAAGUAUGAUAACUGUUGGUUAACAGUGUUUUUAAUGAGAACCAGUGGAAUAUAUAGUUCCGAAUUGUAGUUCAUCUAUCACUAAGUUUGACUGGAAUUAAAGAAACAGAAAAACUACUGUUUUCUAAUAUAUAGCAGCACAGCUAUUGUCAACACUUAUGAAUGUUUAUCCCCUUGUUGCUCUGCUGCCCUCUCCUUUUGGAUAAAUUCAUAAAGCAUUUCAGCUUUGUCUGCCCCUCUCCCCUCUGCUCCUGUAGUUCCAAGUGAAUUAAAGCCUUUCCAGUACUCCUGAGGUUUAAAAUUAGACUGCUCCCAUCUGGUGCCAUGGAUAAAGGGGAAAAUUCAGGUAUCUUGCCUACCAUUGCAUUCUAGUAAUGAAACUGGGUGCCUUGCGGUUUCUGCAGUAAGGAUUCCUCCUUUUGUUUUUCUUUCAAAGUAACUGCUGAGGCUGUCUAUGCCCAUCUUCUUAGAAGUAGGGCUGAGGACUCAUAUGGCAUGCCCUGAGCUGGCUGUUGAGAAUUAUUAUGAGUAUCCUGGAAACUUGGGGGCAUGUGGCACAGUCUAACUUGGAGUUGGAGUGGUGCAGACCACCUUGCAGGUGGGCAGACGGCACCACUGCCUGGCCAGCAUGCAGCCCUGCCUCUACUGACUUGUGAGAACGUGGGAGAAGGGGCAGCAUCCUGGGUUUCCAGGAUUUUCAUGUCAGCUUAGUAAAAGCCCUCCCUCCCCUUGCAGCUUGUUGAGCAGCUUUUCAUGUGUGAACAUAUAUAUGCAAAUUUCUUGCAGUGUAUCAUUCCUUACAUGUUGU